rnacentral:rRNA from 1 species
GAUGAACGCUGGCUACAGGCUUAACACAUGCAAGUCGAGGGACCGGCGCACGGGUGAGUAACGCGUAUCCAACCUUCCCGCGACCAAGGGAUAACCUGCCGAAAGGCAGACUAAUACCUUAUGGUCACGGAUGGGGAUGCGUCCGAUUAGCUUGUUGGCGGGGCAACGGCCCACCAAGGCUUCGAUCGGUAGGGGUUCUGAGAGGAAGGCCCCCCACACUGGAACUGAGACACGGUCCAGACUCCUACGGGAGGCAGCAGUGAGGAAUAUUGGUCAAUGGGCGGAAGCCUGAACCAGCCAAGUAGCGUGCAGGACGACGGCCUACGGGUUGUAAACUGCUUUUAUGCGGGGAUAGGUACCGCAUGAAUAAGGACCGGCUAAUUCCGUGCCAGCAGCCGCGGUAAUUC